AAAAAGGGGACCUGGGACGGAGAAGCAGCUGCCACGGGCAUGCCCCAGGCAUCCGUCGUUCCUGUCGUCCCGACAGUUGCCGCCCCUCCUGUUGGCGCUGUCAGGAAAUCCGAUUUCACCUACACAUACAGCCGGACAUAGGAACGGCUGAAAUAGACCGCGAAACGAAUGGAAGAAAUUGCAAUACCCAACACCAGCUUCUUGGCUCUGCGAGAUGGCCAAAGCCAACCGGACAUCGUCAGAGCGCCGCUUCUCAUCUUCUUUUUCAGCUUCUUCACGUGACAUGGCUAAUGCCAAUUGCAAUUGUAGUUCUUCUUCGCCAGCCGUCUGGGGGCGGGCCAAAUCCAAAUCCGUUGGUGCGACAGCCGCUCGGGCCCUUGUAGCCAAACCGGUUGGAUCCGAUCCGAAGCUUUCAGAAGGUGAUCCCAUAAACUAAAACAAAUUAGAAGAAGAAAAAUAAAUAAAUACACCAAAAUUGGGUUAUUACGACCACUGAGAAAUGGAAGUCAAACAAAGUGAAAGAACACGUUAACACUAAAGGAUUGGCACACAUGUGAAAAAGGGAUACACAAAAAUCCGCGUGCUUCGGGGGGGUUCCAAAUCUCAUGCUUGCCGAGAAAUAUAACAAACACCGACGAAUAAGGUGAGCCAUGACCCACUUACAUCCCAACGCGUAGGACUCGAGGGCGACAUCAGCUCCUGGAGACGAUGUACACACAUCCCCAAUUUAAAGCACGCACGCAUACAAAAUCAUUAUUCACGCCGCGAAAUUGGAGAGAUAAAAACCGAUUGGGUAACGAGGAGCAGAGAAAACUAAAUUUUUAAAAAUGUAUCUAUUGGAAAUAUCUUACAUUUGAAUCGGACCCAGUGCCGAAUCCGGUAGUCUGCUGAGCGAAACGUUCGCGAGCUUUCAGGGCUUUAAUUCGUUCAUUCUUUAACCGUUCGUCAUCUUUUAGUAAGGCUUCUAGGGCCUUGGACUUUUCCCGUACAUGAAUGCCCUGGUCUUUACCGUCCUCAUAGUAUUGAAAAUCCUGUAGGGAAAAAAUAAAAGGGAAAUGCAUUAGCCCACAGGGAUAGUUGAAGGUAAAAUUCCUAUAAAACUUACCCUAAGCGUGUGAAUUGCAAAGAUGUUUUCUUUGCACUGCUGCGCCACUUUUUCGUUGCCAGUUUUGACUAAAUAAUCUAAAAGCACCAGGGCUUUGUAGACGUGACGGUAAUUUUUCCCAUGGUCAUUCAAUCUUUUCCAGAUCAUCUGCAUGAUCUCGGAGAAGGCCACGACAUUGUAGGUCAGGUCCGAGAUCUCGGACAUCAGUGAGCUUGGUGGGCCCCAUGGAUCGUUGCUGGUUGCUUCUCGCACCUUGACCUAAAACAAAUUACAAUUCGGUGUUAUGCUACAUGGUGACAACUAGCAAAAUAAACAAGAAUGUCCUUUUACCUGUGCAUCAGUGUAAUUGUGAGCAAUGUUCUUUAUAUUUCUUCGAAUUCCUGACACGUUCAUUGGGCUAGUUGUGUUGGCUGUUCACUUCCUGGAAAAGAGAAGUACUGAGUCAGACACUGUUAUUCGAGCACUUUAUGGUUUUCCUACAACAAACAGGAUUACAAUGCCAGCUGACGGGUCAAGGUUAGGUAAUUUUCCCUGUACUACUACAGGUUCACAAAUGCAAAUAUACAGUCAAAUAUAAUACUACAUAAUGUGAUAGAACUUCCGAAAGCUAUUCUUUCAGAAAUUAACAACUAGAAAUGUUUCAACGUGUGGAACAUACCACCAAAAGAGUCAAUGAACCUGUCAAGCUUCAACACUUUUUUAAACCAAAGUGACUUAAAAAACAAUUCUUAUCAGAAGUGUCGGAUACGCAUCGUAUGGGCCAAUAACUUCCAGAAAAAUGUAAUGAAUGUCUUCAUACUCGGGACGUCAUCGCAAAACCGAUUCGGUCACGUCUAGGCAGCUUUUAUAAACAAGCAUUCAUUCACCAUGACAACAAAUCCUCAUUCUACUUACCAAAUUAUAAAAGAUUAUCAGCUGGACGACGCAAACUAAAAAAUAUGAUAUUUCAAUAAGUAAAUAGAAAACUGACACAAGACUCUACACCCCUCUGGCACUCACUGAAUGACAAAAAACCUAUACCUAUAGCUAUCAAAUGCUGUUGCCAGAUCUAGAAAUGCUCCUACACGAAGUGCGUGUUUUAGGGCUCGGCCCCGAUUUCAAAUUAAUCGGGGACACCGAAAACCCUCACCGAAAAAUGAGGUUCGGGGACGGUGCGGUGCGGUGAUUUUUUUCCCGGUGCGGUGCGGUGCAAGCACCGCACCGCACCGAAAGCACCGAAUAGAAAUUUGCCUGAGGUGGUGCG